rnacentral:rRNA from 1 species
AUUACGGAGAGUUUGAUCCUGGCUCAGAACGAACGCUGGCGGCGCGUUUUAAGCAUGCAAGUCGAACGAGAACUUAGCACUCAACUGAUGUUACAUAUUGGAUUUAGACCAAGGAUGUGGCCUCAGUUGAGUGCUAAGGGACAGUGGCGAACGGGUGAGUAA